GUUUUGACUAUUCAUCUUAUUUGAAUUUUUUGCGAUUAAUAUUUUUAUUAUUACUAGAUGAUAAAAUAUGAAUAGUACUUUAUAUGUGACUAACUUUUUAAGUUUUUGUAUAAAUUUUUUAAAUAAGACGAAUGAUCAAAGC
rnacentral:pre_miRNA from 1 species